UACGUAGGGUGCGAGCGUUGUCCGGAAUUAUUGGGCGUAAAGGGCUCGUAGGCGGUUUGUCGCGUCGGGAGUGAAAAUCCAGGGCUUAACUCUGGACUGGCUUCCGAUACGGGCAGACUAGAGGUAUGCAGGGGAGAACGGAAUUCCUGGUGUAGCUGUGAAAUGCGCAGAUAUCAGGAGGAACACCGGUGGCGAAGGCGGUUCUCUGGGCAUUACCUGACGCUGAGGAGCGAAAGUGUGGGGAGCGAACAGG
rnacentral:rRNA from 1 species